rnacentral:rRNA from 1 species
AACGAACGCUGGUGGCAUGCCUAACACAUGCAAGUCGAGCGGAAAGGCCUCUUCGGGGGUACUCGAGCGGCGAACGGGUGAGUAACACGUGAGUAAUCUGCCCUUCACUCUGGGAUAGCCACCGGAAACGGUGAUUAAUACCGGAUACGACACGUCCAGGCAUCUGGUGCGUGUGGAAACUUUUUGGGUGGGGGAUGUGCUCGCGGCCUAUCAGCUUGUUGGUGGGGUAAUGGCCUACCAAGGCUUCGACGGGUAGCCGGCCUGAGAGGGUGACCGGCCACACUGGGACUGAGACACGGCCCAGACUCCUACGGGAGGCAGCAGUGGGGAAUAUUGGACAAUGGGCGGAAGCCUGAUCCAGCAACGCCGCGUGAGGGAUGACGGCCUUCGGGUUGUAAACCUCUUUCAGCACCGACGAAGCGAUCCUUUGGGGGAGUGACGGUAGGUGCAGAAGAAGGACCGGCCAACUACGUGCCAGCCGCCGCAGUAAGAC